CGCUUAGUCAAUCGUGUUCGAAGCCCAAUUCUGAGUCGCCACCCCUUCCUUGUUGUGAGUCAUUAUUGUAGACCUUACUGUCAAGGAGUGAUUUGGUUUCAAACUUAAUUAGACUAGUUCAUUUGCAAAAUUUACCUUUCAACCAAGGAUUUUAGCUAAGCUCGAGGUAAAGGUAAUGUACGAGGCUGGUCGGCAAGGGGCAAGAAGGAUGUGUGAAGACCAUAUGGGAACAUCUAGGUUUAAUGCUUCCGCUCAAUGUCUUUGUUAUUUUCAUUUUGAGGAUUUUAAAUUUAAGUUUUGAUUAGAACAUUAGUUGUUUGUUUUGUUUGAAAUUCCAUAGGCUAUGUUUUGAAAUUUUUUAAAGUGAUUUGAACUAGGGCCCGAAAACGUCUUCAUUAUUACAUCUUGAAGUUUUAAUGAAUUUUUGAAUAGAGUAUUUAUUGAGUUCUUAUGCGGGAUGUCGUGUCUUAGCAAUGAGUAAUAACCUCAGCUUAGACUGAAAAAUUGGGUCGUUACAUCCAUUUUCAUCUUUUCCAAUUAACAUCAGAGACCAUAUUUCUGCUAGUGUUAAGAGUUCAUUUUCUGAAAGUUUGAAAAGAAAAGCUAAGUGUUGAAGUGUUAUUGAAGUGCUUACGCGAGAAGAAGAAGAAGAGAAGCAAGUGGAGUAUGAGUUUCUAAUGUUCGUAAGUGUUUUCUUCCAAAGUGUUUAUAUGAUAAAAGCUUUCUUUAAAAAUUAUUAUGAUUUCAAAAUAAUGAUAUCAAUUGAGUGUUUUGAAAGAGAUUUCGAAUAAAAGCUUAUAUUAUGUUUAAAGCAUAAUAUAUAUGUUUAAAUAAUUUAUUAAAUUGUAUUCAAACCAUUAGUCUUCUUCCUAUCAAUGAGGUAGCUAGUAUGUGCACAUAAAAAGUAAAACUAGCCAUGAAUAAAAUAUGUUCAUGGUUAAAUGAGGCGGGACAAGGCAUAGAAGAUGUGUAUUACGCUUCGGCUUGAGCAAUAAGAAACGAACUAGGAUAUACUCAAAUAUUGAUGAUGAGAUGGCCAUCACAGUACUCUAAACGUAAGAUGAUUAGUCUUUGCGUAAAGAAUGAUCCAGGUUCUUGCGAAAGGAAUGAUGAUUGACUAAUGUGUUUAUGUGAAAUGUAUGUUUAAGCGAUUUGAUGUGAAUAUCCAUGUUUAUGAAAGACAUUUUGUGACAAGGAUUUCUUAGAACCCCACUAAGUCUUUUGACUUAUGUUUUAAAGUUUUAUUUUACAAGUGUCAAGCGUUAAAGCUAAAGUAAAGAAAGGUUGAGAAGCUUGCUAGGCGAAAAGAGUUGUCAGACAUUCAGCUUUAAAGUUUAAGUGUUGUCUUUUGUAUUCUUUUAAAGUAUUGUAAUUGUAAAACUUAAGUAAUAAAAGUUUGAGUUUUGUUA